UAGUCUAGAACUGAAAUCACAAAAUCACAAAAUGUGCUUAUUGUGAUAACGUAAGGGAAAAAAUGGAUAUUACCUUACUAUUAGUGUUGUCUAAAUAACUGGUGCCAGAAGACUCGGUAACACCAGUAAACAGCGUAACGUUAGUCUGUCUUAAACAAUGCGUAAAGGGUAAGUAAGCUGCUUUAAAGUCUAUUUUGAAAUAAGCUAAUUAAUAAUAAUCCUCCACACCCGUACUGGACCCUAGACUUUUGUUUUUAACUAAACCCCUCUCUGCCCUAUGGUCUGGGACNGGGUUUUUNAACAAAGAAUANAGUANGAGGGAGGCCCUUACUAANANACUACAAAUUUUCANAUCUUUAAUAAUAAAUUAAUGUCAACUAAAAUUGAAAAUAGGGUAUUAUUAGGCCCAGCCAAAGGACAGGGAGCUAUAAUGUUUAAUAUAAAAAACAAAAAUAGAUACAGCUUGAAAUCUAGAAAUUCAUAAUUGAGAAGUAAAACC
rnacentral:rRNA from 1 species